GGUGUCUCCUGGCAACAAUAUCCUGGUGCUGCCUGAGUACAUCUCACAGACUCCAGCAUCAGUGAUUUUGUUGCCGGGGGAA
rnacentral:pre_miRNA from 8 species